rnacentral:rRNA from 1 species
AGUGAACGCUGGCGGUAGGCCUAACACAUGCAAGUCGAACGGCAGCACAGGAGAGCUUGCUCUCUGGGUGGCGAGUGGCGGACGGGUGAGGAAUACAUCGGAAUCUACUUUUUCGUGAGGGAUAACGUAGGGAAACUUACGCUAAUACCGCAUACGACCUACGGGUGAAAGCAGGGGAUCUUCGGACCUUGCGCGAUUGAAUGAGCCGAUGUCGGAUUAGCUAGUUGGCGGGGUAAAGGCCCACCAAGGCGACGAUCCGUAGCUGGUCUGAGAGGAUGAUCAGCCACACUGGAACUGAGACACGGUCCAGAGUCCUACGGGAGGCAGCAGUGGGGAAUAUUGGACAAUGGGCGCAAGCCUGAUCCAGCCAUACCGCGUGGGUGAAGAAGGCCUGCGGGUUGUAAAGCCCUUUUGUUGGGAAAGAAAUCCAGCUGGUUAAUACCCGGUUGGGAUGACGGUACCCAAAGAAUAAGCACCGGCUAACUUCGUGCCAGCCGCCGCAGUAA